AACUUCUUGAAGAUGAUUUCUGAAAAAUUGUCUUUGAUUUGAAGCUUACCAGAACAAUUUUUCCAAAACCAUCUUUGAUUUUACGCUAAGAAUGACAAUUUUGUCAAAACUGUCUUGAAGUUUACAGGUAUACAGACUCUACACGAACUCUCACUCUCCCGUUCUCAGUCGAUCUCGUGCCCUCACUCUCGUCCCUUUCACUCUGUCGGUCAUGACCUCUGAAGCUUGCCGCAACAAUCAUUCCGGUUCACUCUGCCUCACUCUUGUCCCACCGUGACAACGCUUCCCUCUAUUGCCUGGUGCUUAACAAGACCUGGCUUUUGUGUCGACACUUGACCAAGUCAUUACAUAUAAAAUACUGUGUGAGCAAAAUGUCGUCAAUCUUCACCUUCAGAUUAUCCAUAUAAGCUUCCAAUGAGUUCCUCAGUUGCAGUAACAUUUCCUUGGACAUACACACUUAUUCAAUAUUUGCCACACUUUGAUAAAGUGAGCUCAGUGAUCCAACCUCAAUUGGCUCCUUUUCCAUUUGUAUAGCAAUGUUUCCUAAAGGAAAUGUUAAGAAGCUAAGCAUAACUUCCCCAAAGUCCUUUGCUGCCUUGAUUAAGAAAACUUCAUUUCUUUCUUUGCUAACCAUAAGCUUCAAGGUAACCUGCUGCUCUGUUUCAGUGGCAGCCAUGGUACAAAGCAAUCAACAAGCUUAUGAGAGAGUAAAUUUUUUUUGCUAAAAUGUUGUAAAUAAAUUUGUUUUGUUGACAAAACCUUUCUUAAGCGUUUCAAGUUACUAGUACAGUAUAUUGAAAAUGUUGAGUCACCUUGACUGUGUAUUUAAUGAAUCAUGUUGUCUGGAAAUGUGCAUUGUGAAGAGAGAUUCAAGGAAAGAAAAGUUAAUGAACAGAAGUAUAGCAGGGACCGAUCAAGUACGGCAGUCACUUUAUUUUUAACUUUGCAUGUUGUGUCCAUAUGUAAUGAAACAGAUUGGUUUGAAAAUGUGCAUGGAGAGUCGUUUUGAGGAAAGAGAACGGAACAGUUGGGUGAUGGAAGAUUUCAAACUCGUUUUAGUCUAGCAUAAGCUGAAGCCAUCUUGUUUACUGCUUGCUUUUGGGAAGCCCUUGCCACCAUUUUGAAAGCUCAAACCAGUUAGUGCUGCCAAUUGCCCACCAAGGUGUUCCACUUGACAUAAUUAACUUCACUAUUCUGGCCCAUUUUCAUGUUUUGACAUGGAGAUCAUCAUUAAUUUACGGAAUCCUAGUUUAGUGUUUUAAACUCUGAUCCUCAACUGCUCUUUUAGACCUUCCAAGCUCCACAAGAGCUUGAGCCUUAGUAGUUUCAGCAUUCUUUACUUGUUCCCUUAACUCGUUCAGCUCUUUUUUGGACUACAUGAAGGUGUGUCUCCUUGGCCAAAACUGUAUAGUAAAAGAACAAACUUGUAAAUUGCAAAAUGAAAAAGAUAGUACCAUCAAAGAUAACCUUCAUUGAUUUAGAUAAUUAAUCUUGUUAUUAAGCUACCUCGUUGAUACAAUCAAUGAAGCAUUAUGCGUUGAAAUAAAAAUUCCAGAAUUAGAUUUUUUUUGUGUGUCUGAAAAUUCCAGAAUUUGAUGUUUUCAUCGAAAGUUCUGAGUUUAUUUGCUGUAACCUUUGGUUGAGGCUUAUGGCAUGCCCUGAACUUGAUUGACACAUCCUCUAUUCCCCUACACAAUUUUUAACCUGAAAAUAUAAAAAUAAGAAUUGCAUACCUUUGGCGCAAUUGAGUUUUCCUUCAGUGUCAAGUGAACAUUGGGGUUUUCCAUCAAGAAGACACCUUUCACAAUCAUCAGUUAAUUGUACUUCAAUAGCGAUAUUACCAGAUAGAAAUUGAAAGGGGUCAACAGUAGACGUUGCUUGUGUUGCAAGCUGAAUGGUUGAACAUGGUGCUAAGGAUCUCGGCCACUUGGAAUCCAGAGGAGUUUCGGUAUUUGGAUAGCCAUAGUAGAUAUGGUACUGAUGAGAACAGUUUGAAUAUUUAUUAAAACCUUCAUGAAGGGAUCCUCUGAGAGAGUGAUUGCAUCUGAAGAUAGUGAUAUUAUAUUUGAUGUAGAAAGAAGCUAAAGGAGUGUUGUGAUGAAGAGUAAAAUUGUUGCUGAAGGUUUUGCAACUUUUGUUUCGCAAAUAAUGAUCUUGUUCAUCAUCUGUGAUAAUUAUGGUACGAGGUUCUAUCUGUAGAACAGUGUACUGUUUCGAUGUUGAGUUGCUUAGUUGGACGGUUCUGGGAGCGUGUUGGUAGUGCUGUUCACAGUCAUGUAUAGCCAAUAAGCCGCAGUGUGGUUGGUCUAUGGUUGUGAAAGGAAGCUUAAUUUGGCCAAGAUAUCCACACUUGAAAAAAAGAUGUUUGACACUUUCCAUCUUGAGCUGAAACAAGAAGCAGAAGCUGCCACAAAAUUAUUACUAUUAGUGAUGAUUUUAAAAUAAGAAGGGAGGCCAUUAGGAAUGUCAAUAAAAAAUGAAACCAAGGAAGGAAAUGUUUUUGAAAAACAUUCAAUGCAUCAUACAACAGAAAAAGACAGUACAAUCAAAUCUCACCCUAUGAUAAUGCACUCCUUCCUGCCUCUAUGUUUUAACUCUUCCACCCUUCUAUAUAAAGUUCAAUAUGCAGAAUUGCAUAUAAAAGUCUCACCAUCCUAAGUUAGCAUGUGAAGCCUUUCCAUUGUUUCCUUAGUUCAUUUGGCUGUAAUUUAGAACUCAUGCUGGAAUCCUCUCGUGCCUCUAUACAAGUUCUCUAUUUCUCUAACAAUGAAUAUUUGGGUCCUUGAUCAACUCAUUAUAAUUUCUCUAUUUCUCUAUUUAAAAGUUGGUCGCCUUUAGCUCAUAAAUCACCUGGCAACGAGGAUUGGCAAUUGCGUAUAUAGUGAAAUUAACAUAAGGAAUUGGUAAUUAAGCACAAAAUUAACCGUAAAUUAUAGUCUAAAACCUCAAAGCACAUUCGGUACCCCUUACCUGUUUCCCACAUGAGAACAAACUGUCGUGCAGUUCCUCAAGAGAAGCAAUUCCCGAGGUGUCAAUGCUAACCAAAUCUACCAUAAUAAUGUAAUAAUGAAAUAAACUGUUCAGUACUUGCCUAGCUACAUUGUUGUUACUACAUAUAAAUUACAAAGCAAAUACGCACAUUAAUCAUUCUUUGGUGAUGUCUGUUGCACUUAAAUUUUAUAUUUGUAAUGAAAUAUCAUAUAACUAAACAAGCAAAGGUAAUUUAUUAAUUAGAAAAGCAAAGCAAUGCAGACUUGACGUGUAUAUACCUUUUGUAUUAGUAAUGAAAUAUAGCUAAACUCAUCGAUAAUAUAAUUAAUGACUCAAUGAGUUGAUCCAUUACUAACUGAACCAAUAUCCAAUCGAAUUGAUGAUUGAUCCAAAUAUAAUAAUAUUGAUUUCAUGGAUAGACCAUAUGAUAUCACGGUCCACGCUAGAAUCCUCCUAGAGAACAACCACAAUGAUCAAGAUGCACACAAAAUAAACCAUAGUUGUGAAAAUUGGACGAGUUCGACCGAUGAGCAGUGACUUGAUCGGUUUAGUUAAGCUAUCAACUCAAAAAUGCAAUA